rnacentral:lncRNA from 1 species
CGGCCGUCUCUUUGGCAAGAAGGAGAAAUCGCGUUUAGAUCAGCCUUUGAGCAAGGAUGGCCAGAUGACACCACCUGCCAUUCCAGAUUUCGAGAUGGGCAUUGGAGAUACCAUGACCUUGAGCAAACUGGGCACACAGGCAGAGCGAGACCGCAGGAUGAAGAAAAAACAUGAGCUGCUGGAGGAUGCUAGGAGGAAAGGGCUUCCUUUUGCUCAGUGGGACGGCC